AUUGAACGCUGGCGGCAUGCCUUACACAUGCAAGUCGAACGGUAACAGGUCUUCGGAUGCUGACGAGUGGCGAACGGGUGAGUAAUACAUCGGAACGUGCCUAGUAGUGGGGGAUAACUACUCGAAAGAGUGGCUAAUACCGCAUGAGAUCUACGGAUGAAAGCAGGGGAUCGCAAGACCUUGUGCUACUGGAGCGGCCGGUGGCAGAUUAGGUAGUUGUUGGGAUAAAAGCUUACCAAGCCGACGAUCUGUAGCUGGUCUGAGAGGACGAUCAGCCACACUGGGACUGAGACACGGCCCAGACUCCUACGGGAGGCAGCAGUGGGGAAUUUUGGACAAUGGGCGAAAGCCUGAUCCAGCAAUGCCGCGUGCAGGAUGAAGGCCUUCGGGUUGUAAACUGCUUUUGUACGGAACGAAAAGCCCCGGGUUAAUACCCUGGGGUCAUGACGGUACCGUAAGAAUAAGCACCGGCUAACUACGUGCCAGCCGCCGCAGUAA
rnacentral:rRNA from 1 species